AAGUCGUAACAAGGUUUCCGUAGGUGAACCUGCGGAAGGAUCAUUACCAAUAUAGCGAACCGAGCGUUAGCGAGGCUUCGCGAUCAAUUUGUAUUUAAAACCCAACUCUUUAAAUGUAUAUUAUUAUUGUAUUUUAAAUAAUAAAAGAUCACUUUCAACAACGGAUCUCUUGGCUCUC
rnacentral:misc_RNA from 1 species